rnacentral:lncRNA from 1 species
GUAAGAGCCUGUUCUGCAUGAAAUUAAGAAACUUGCAAGAGUACACACAAAAGUUUUAGAUAUGCUUUUGGAGAGGAUAUUUUGCUACAAAGUUUAAAGACUCUCAUCUCUUACUGUAUAAAGAGUGGAGAGAUCCUUGGAAUGAAGAUAACCAAGAUGACACAUUGAAAAAAAUGGCAGAUCUUUCCCUUGGACUGUACCAUGUUUAAAAUGUGAGUCUAUAUUCUCAUGACAAAUGUUUUUGUCAUCUUCUACUUAAGUGGAACGCACCAUACAAGAGGACCUGUGUUAGAAAACUUACCUGUAUCUUCUGGGACACCCGUUUUUUUGUUGUUGUUGUUUUUUGUUUGUUUGUUUUUUGUUUUUGUUUUUUUGAGACAGAGUCUCA